UAUGUGGACUGGGAGAACGCCUGGCUCCGCCGCCUUCACGGCGGCGGUGGGCUUUCUCCUGCUCGCGCUGGCGAUGUUCGCCUCCACGCCCGCCUGG
rnacentral:tRNA from 1 species